GGAAGACUUAAUCUAUUAUUUGAUGAUAAAUACACAGAGUAAGACGAGUAUGCGUAGCAAGAUACAACUUUGUAAUCAGUGUACGUAGAAAGUAACUUCAUGUUUACUGGCCUGAUGUAUGAGGAAAUAAUUGAGAUAAAAAUUUGAAAGUUUUAGGGCUUCUACUUGCCAUUACAAGUAACAACUCUGUCAAGUUUCGCAUCGUGCCAUCAAUUUUUACCAGAGUUACAAAGAAAAAAGGUGGAUUACCAUGGAUCCCCCAAUAAGCCCAAUCUUCGGAAGCUGUAACCACGUACAAACCUGCAACACGAUACAUUUAUAAUGUAUAAAUCGUAUCACGAUUUUAUAUUACCUUAAUAUUAUUCAAAUGGUAAUAUUGAUAAUGCCAAGUUUAUUCCAGCACUUGGCAUUUUUAUGAAUAUUAUUCAAUUUCGUGUGUGUACUGUUCGUCCAACGGAAAGCUGCCUAUGCUAAUUCGGUAUCUGUUCCUCUGCCUGUAGAGUCCAUUUACCCAAUAAGCUCGAUAAGUAAUUGAUUGGACAGGAAAGCAACCGACAGGAAAGCAAAAUUAACCUUGCUCGUCGUUGGCCGAGCCAAAUUCAUUUCGGUACAUCUUUAUUCCCAUGAUGGGAUCAUAACAUGGAUUUUUCAAUUUCUUCAAUUCUUCAAUUUUGAAACUUAAAAAGAUUAUUUAAAGCAGGAUAGCGAGAAAGGAACUCGAGGAAUGAAGAAUUGAUUACGUUUGAACUAGGAAAGCAGAGAUCGUCUCAGAAAUAUUGCAAAGUAAUUUCCAAGAAAAUUUCUGCGUUAUCUUCAAAGAUUCUAAAUUAGUACACACGACGAGCCAAGCACAACAAGCCCCUAAAAGACUUGUAAAAUAAUUAAUCGACAAAGAAAGCUUUGAAAUUCUUUUAUUUGUAAAUGCAUUGCAGUUCAAUAUUACAAAACUGUCCACAAAAUUUGGUAGAGAAAAGGAUUGCAAAGGAAAAAGAUGAAUGAAAGUUGAAAGUGUACUAUAUUUGUAACGUAUACAGUACAUCUGCAUGUGUAAAGUUCAUCUCUUCCCCUUGCGAUUCUUUCCUACAUCUACCGAUAACGAACAUUCAGCUCGUUGCACUUGCUUGGCCCACCCUGUAUGUAAACAGCCAUCGUAGAAACGUUGGCACUUCCUAAAUUGGCGCUUUGUACACCACUGGUGAACAAUUCGAACGACCGUCGGAUUUUAAUGAACAUAUUCCGGUUGCUAAACUGGGUGUGCAAAUACUUUGAAUGUUCCUUGUGGAUCAACUUUGUAUUAGCAUUUUAUAUGGAAUUAGCUAGCUGAAAAUCCACUGUAUGUUACUGUGUGUCGCUUCCAGAGGUUUGCAAUCAAAAUGAUCUUUCUAUUUUAUUAGAGAGGAUUUAUUUAUUGGAGUGGAUUGCAACGAAAGGAACUUACAUGGAAAAAUCUAUAACAACGUGCACAAAUGAAGAUCAUACAAAACAUCAAGAAUAAUAUUUAUAUAUAUUCUACCAUUUAGAAGAUAAAACAUGCAACUAUGAAUUCGCAUAAAUAUUGGCAGGCUAUUUAUAAAGAAAAAUUAAGGAAGGAUGAAAAUAAAAGUACAGAGACUCAAGAUAAGGAAAGGUUUCAAUUUCGUAAUGAAUGCAAAGUUUGGUACAACAUUCGGGGGAAAAAAAAAUUGAAAAUCUCUUUU